GUAUAAUAGUAGAUCACUCAAGGCAUGCUGAGAGAUUUAUUAACAUUUUUGGAAUUUGGGAAAGUUUCAACAUCUUACAUUGAACAUGGACAUGAAGAUUCUAAUAAUAAUAAUGAUUUUAUGCAAUGUACUUGUAAUGAAUAUAAAAUAUGAUUGUAAGGCAGAUCACUUGAUGCAUGCUGAGACUGGAAUUCACAUUCCUACCACUUGGGAAAGUAUCAACAUCCUACAUUGAACAACGGACUAGAAGAUUCUGAUAAUAAUAAUGGUUUUAUGCAAUAUGGCAGUAUAAUAGUAGAUCACUCAAGGCAUGCUGAGAGAUUUAUUAACAUUUUUGGAAUUUGGGAAAGUUUCAACAUCUUACAUUGAACAUGGACAUGAAGAUUCUAAUAAUAAUAAUGAUUUUAUGCAAUGUACUUGUAAUGAAUAUAAAAUG